CUUUACCUUGAGGCAUUAUAGGGUGAAACUUUAAACUUAACAUGGUUUAAGAUCAAAGAAGAUCGCAAGUUCCCUCUUAGGACUUGCAAAGUGAUAUGUACCUAAUUUUGGGGUGUUCCAGAGAGUUUGUGAUUCAUAAGACUGUUUUAUGUCCUGUGGAAUUCAGAUGCACUGUUCCUGCUUGUUACUAGUGUUACCUUUCAGCAUGUUGCUAGGAAUUAUUGGUUUUUACACUGUGAUGGUUAAGUAGAUUCAAACUUGUUGAUUAAUAGUUGACUUUGCUGAUUGUGUUGAUGACCUUUGUGCCACAUGAUCUUUUGUUUUAUAAAUUUUCCUUGUUGAGUUGGCAUCUGCAUUGAAGGUGGCUUUGAAGCCAUCAUAGUUUUAGCUUGUCUUUAAUAUUUGUGAAUGAAUUUCUCAUUUUGUUAACUGGACUUGCAUGCUGAACUUGAAGACAAAUAUGUAGAAUGGACCAUUGGGAUGUUAUCCAAACAUUUCAAUUUUGGACCAAUUAUCUAAAUCUUUCUUUUUUGAAGAAAUUUUAGCCAAAAUUGAAUAUUAAUUUGGUUGACAGCAUCACACUUGGGACUUGUUUAUGAAUGCUUAACAAAACACCUUUGGAUCUUAUUUCACAAAGUGCUCAUGAGAAAAAUCAAUUUUUCCCCUGAAUUAAAUUUCAAUUUUGGCUUAGAUUUCUUUGGAAUUGAAUGAUUUGGAUGAUGGGUGCAAAAUUGAAACAUUUGGAUAAAAUUAACAAAUUGGUGCAAGCAUUUGAACUUUUUGGUCCAAAAGGCCUUGAGACGAUUAGUUGACCUGAAUUAUUUAGGGAGGAGAUUUAGCUUCAAUGAAGGACUACAUUUUGAAUGGACAUCUGUUCCAUCAUCAAUGCUUCAAUUCUCCAUGACAUCAAUGGAAAAGUAAAGCAUUCUAAUCUCCAUAACAUCUGUUUCCAAUGUCAGCAGAAAACAUUUUGUGUUUCACCUCAUUUCUGAUGACAGAAACAUAAUAGUAAUUAUAAGAGAAUGGUUUGGGCUAUUGCCCAAUGGUAGUUAUACAUAUAUUUUCUUAGUAAUUUGGACAUCUCAUUAGUUAGUUUUUUUAUGUUUCAGGCUGCAGAUUUUGUGUAUAGGGCAAUUGGGAGCAGAUGGACUGUGCCCUGGACAGCAGAGACCAUAUUGCAGGUGAGACUUUUCCUUGUGGUUGCUACAUUCCUGGACAUCUAGGGAAUAAGAACUAUAUAAUAAGCUUUUAUAGCCGUUACUUACAAGGAUGAGGUGAAAAGGUAGUCAUUUUUUAAGAAACUAUUAGAAGUUACACCAGAGCAUGAGAAUGGUUAUUGCUGCAGAACUUGUCUUGGUAUCUAUUACUGAUAUAUGUAUUCUCUGCGGAUAUCUUUCUUUCAGAUUAUUAUUAUUCUUUUGGCUUUAUAGAUAGUUUUCAAUUGAUCAUGCAAUCUUAACUAAAAUUCUUUUUGAUGGAAUUGAAAUGACUUGGUGAAGUUACACAAAUGAGUUUCUGUGGAAACCAAGAUUUCCUCUUUCUUGUAGGCUAGUGGAUUUUAACAUCUUGCUCUAUAAAUUAAACUAUUGUAUUUAAUAAUUGAAUACAAGGCCAGCAACUGAACUUCAUAUUGUCAUGCAGGUUAUGCUUCUGUGGGUUGUCUCAUUCUGGUUUAUAGGAUCUUGGGUGAUUCCUUUUGCAGCCCACAUGGCAGGUUUCAACAAGGAAUCCCUGACAUUUAGAGGACAAGCCUUGUUCAGCCUUGUGACUGAUGUAACUGAAGGCCUUGCUGGAAUUGCUAUUCUCCAUCGCUGUUUGUCUCGAUUUUGUCCCCUUCCAUCUGAUUGGUUUAGGUUUAGCCUGAAAGGUAACUGGCUAUUGGACGUUGCUCUUGGAUGUUUCAUGUUUCCCUUGGUCAACCGCCUCUCUCAGUUCAAUCUUAGCUUAUUGCCCAUUCUACCUUCUACACCUGUUACUCUCUCCAGCGUUGAGCAGUCAAUUGCAGCAAGAGAUCCAGUGGCAAUGACUUUGUAUGCGAUAGUAGUUUCAGUGUGUGCCCCUGUGUGGGAGGAGAUUGUCUUUCGGGGUUUCCUCCUUCCUUCCUUAACAAGAUACAUGCCCGUGUGGUGUGCAAUCCUGGUUAGCUCAGUUGCCUUUGCUCUAGCACAUUUCAAUGUACAGAGAAUGCUUCCGCUUAUUUUUCUGGGAGUGGUGAUGGGUGUCAUUUUUACAAGGUCGAGGAAUUUAAUGCCAUCUAUGCUUUUGCAUAGCCUUUGGAAUGGUUUUGUGUUCUUAGAUUUAAUGAGAUGACUUGUUAGCCUUGCGCAGCACAUACAACAGAUCAUGAAUCAGCUGAUCAUCUCUCAAAAGUGUAUAUUUGUGGCUUUGAAGGAUAUUUUUUAUCAUAAGGCCUCUGAAGGCCUGCUCCAUUGGCAACUUUGAUUUACACUCAUCCUCAGAAUGCUUUGUAGGUCCAACAAACAGAGAUAAAGUAGUAUUGACAGAAAUUAAUAGGCCAUUCUAUAAUUUCUUCAUUUAUGGAAUUAGUCUAGUACAUCUUUCAUAUGUGUAAUUAUACUAGAAACAAAGGGGUAAAGCUAUCCCUUUGGCCUGCAGAGAUCUUGCUUAACGUUGUAAAACUCUCAAUCCAGUAAAUUAGCACUCUUUUUUUCUUGUAAUUUAUUUGUCUCCUUUCUUUUUUUUUUGAGGUCAGAAGGCCAAGAUGGGGAGAGGGGGAAGGGGAAGAGGAAGGAUAAUAAGAACUGGAGUUUUUUCCUGAUCUGGCCAUUUUAUCACUAUCCUCAAUAGUUGGUUCGUUGCUUGUGUAUCAAGAACAAUAUUAUGUUGCAACUUGAAUUUUUGUGCAGGACAAUUACUGAUUAAAUAGUUAUCACUGAGCACCGUAAAAAAAUGUUAUUAAAAAAGACCGAUAUUCGUUGGCUGUCCACGGUGGAAGCCAACACUAUGUCCAGAUUCAAGGGAAGGCUUUUUUAUUUUUUUUCUUUAUACAUUUAGGUUUUUAUGUCCAGUGAGAAAAAUUGAACACUUUAACCCAUCCAAUGGUUGAUAGCAAAGUCUAUGCUAACGAUUUGAUCGAUAUGAUAAUCUCGAUUAUAGAAUGGGAUGUCAUGGUGCAAAAUUCCAACAAAAUGUGAAUUAAGAUGCACUGUUCCUGCUUGUUACUAGUGUUACCUUUCAGCAUGUUGCUAGGAAUUAUUGGUUUUUACACUGUAAUGGUUAUGUAAAUUCAAACUUGUUGAUUAAUAGUUGACUUUGCUGAUUGUGUUGAUGACCUUUGUGCCACAUGAUCUUUUGUUUUAUAAAUUUUCCUUGUUAAGUUGGCAUCUGCUUUGAAGGUGGCUUUGAAGCCAUCAUAGUUUUAGCUUGUCUUCAAUAUUUGUGAAUGAAUUCCUCAUUUUGUUAACUGGACUUGCAUGCUGAACUUGAAGACAAAUAUGUAGAAUGGACCAUUGGGAUGUUAUCCAAACAUUUCUAUUUUAGACCAAUUAUCUAAAUCUUUCAGUUUUGAAGAAAUUUUAGCCAAAAUUGAAUAUUAAUUUGAUUGACAGCAUCACACUUGGGACUUGUUUAUGAAUGCUUAACAAAACACCUUUGGAUCUUAUUUCACAAAGUGCUCAUGAGAAAAAUCAAUUUUUCCCCUGAAUUAAAUUUCAAUUUUGGCUUAGAUUUCUUUGGAAUUGAAUGAUUUGGAUGAUGGGUGGAAAAUUGAAACUUUUGGAUAAAAUUAACAAAGUGGUGCAAGCAUUUGAACUUUUUGGUCCAAAAGGCCUUGAGACGAUUAGUUGACCUAAAUUAUUUAGGGAGGAGAUUUAGCUUCAAUGAAGGACUACAUUUUGAAUGGACAUCUUUUCCAUCAUCAAUGCUUCAAUUCUCCAUGACAUCAAUGGAAAAGUAAAGCAUUCUAAUCUUCAUAAUAUCUAUUUCCAAUGUCAGCCGAAAACAUUUUGUGUUUCACCUCAUUUCUGAUGGCAGAAACAUAAUAGUAAUUAUAAGAAAAUGGUUUGGGUUAUUGCCCAAUGGUAGUUAUACAUAUAUUUUCUUAGUAAUUUGGACAUCUCAUUAGUUAGUUUUUUAUGUUUCAGGCUGCAGAUUUUGUGUAUAGGGCAAUUGGGAGCAGAUGGACUGUGCCCUAGACAGCAGAGACCAUAUUGCAGGUGAGACUUUUCCUUGUGGUUGCUACAUUCCUGGACAUCUAGGGAAUAAGAACUAUAUAAUAAGCUUUAUAGCCGUUACUUACAAGGAUGAGGUGAAAAGGUAGUCAUUUUUUAAGAAACUAUUAGAAGCUACACCAGAGCAUGAGAAUGGUUAUUGCUGCAGAACUUGUCCUGGUAUCUAUUACUGAUAUAUGUAUUCUCGCGGAUAUCUUUCUUUCAGAUUAUUAUUAUUCUUUUGGCUUUAUUGAUAGUUUUCAAUUGAUCAUGCAAUCUUAACUAAAAUUCUUUUUGAUGGAAUUGAAAUGACUUGGUGAAGUUACACAAAUGAGUUUCUGCGGAAACCAAGAUUUCCUCUUUCUUGUAGGCUAGUGGAUUUUAACAUCUUGCUCUAUAAAUUAAACUAUUGUAUUUAAUAAUUGAAUACAAGGCCAGCAACUGAACUUCAUAUUGUCAUGCAGGUUAUGCUUCUGUGGGUUGUUUCAUUCUGGUUUAUAGGAUCUUGGGUGAUUCCUUUUGCAGCCCACAUGGCAGGUUUCAACAAGGAAUCCCUGACAUUUAGAGGACAAGCCUUGUUCAGCCUUGUGACUGAUGUAACUGAAGGCCUUGCUGGAAUUGCUAUUCUUCAUCGCUAUUUGUCUAGAUUUUGUCCCCUUCCAUCUGAUUGGUUUAGGUUUAGCCUGAAAGGUAACUGGCUAUUGGACGUUGCUCUUGGAUGUUUCAUGUUUCCCUUGGUCAACCGCCUCUCUCAGUUCAAUCUUAGCUUAUUGCCCAUUCCACCUUCUACACCUGUUACUCUCUCAAGCGUUGAGCAGUCAAUUGCAGCAAGAGAUCCAGUGGCUAUGACUUUGUAUGCGAUAGUAGUUUCAGUGUGUGCCCCUGUGCGGGAGGAGAUUGUCUUUCGGGGUUUCCUCAUUCCUUCCUUAACAAGAUACAUGCCCGUGUGGUGUGCAAUCCUGGUUAGCUCAGUUGCCUUUGCUCUAGCACAUUUCAAUGUACAGAGAAUGCUUUCGCUUAUUUUUCUGGGAGUGGUGAUGGGUGUCAUUUUUACAAGGUCGAGGAAUUUAAUGCCAUCUAUGCUUUUACAUAGCUUUUGGAAUGGUUUUGUGUUCAUAGAUUUAAUGAGAUGACUUGUUAGCCUUGCGCAGCACAUACAACAGAUCAUGAAUUAGCUGAUCAUCUCUCAAAAAUGUAUAUUCGUGGCUUUGAAGGAUAUUUUUGAUCAUAAGGCCUCUGAAGGCCUGCUCCAUUGGCAACGUUGAUUUACACUCAUCCUCAAAAUGUUUUGUAGGUCCAACAAACAGAGAUAAAGUAGUAUUGACAGAAAUUGAUAGGCCAUUCUAUAAUUUCUUCAUUUAUGGAAUUAGUCCAGUACAUCUUUCAUAUGUGUAAUUAUACUAGAAACAAAGGGGUAAAGCUAUCCCUUUGGCCCGUAGAGAUCUUGCUUAACGUUGUAAAACUCUCAAUCCAGUAAAUUAGCACUCUUUUUUUCUUGUAAUUUAUUUGUCUCCUUUCUUUUUUUUUUUUGACGUCAGAAGGCCCAGAUGGAGAGAGGGGGAAGGGGAAGAGGAAGGAUGAUAAGAAUUGGAGUUUUUUCCUGAUCUGGCCAUUUUAUCACUAUUCUCAAUAGUUGGUUCGUUGCUUGUGUAUCAAGAACAAGCAAUAUUAUGUUGCAACUUGAAUUUUUGUGCAGGACAAUUACUGAUGAAAUAGUUACCACUGAGCACCGUAAAAAAAUGUUACUAAAGAAGACCGAUAUUCGUUGGUUGUCCUCGGUGGAAGCCAACACUAUGUCCAGAUUCAAGAGAAGGCUUUUUUAUUUUUUUUUCUUUAUACAUUUAGGUUUUUUGGUCCAGUGAGAAAAAUUGAACACUUUAACCCAUCCAAUGGUUGAUAGCAAAGCCUAUGCUAACGAUUUGGUCGAUAUGAUAAUCUCGAUUAUAGAAUGGGACGUCAUGGUGCAAAAUUCCAACAAAAUGUGAAUUCAGAUGCACUGUUCUUGCUUGUUACUAGUGUUACCUUUCAGCAUGUUGCUAGAAAUUAUUGGUUUUUACACUGUGAUGGUUAAGUAAAUUCAAACUUCUUGAUUAAUAGUUGACUUUGCUGAUUGUGUUGAUGACCUUUGUGCCACAUGAUCUUUUGUUUUAUAAAUUUUCCUUGUUCAGUUGGCAUCUGCUUUGAAGGUGGCUUUGAAGCCAUCAUAGUUUUAGCUUGUGUUCAAUAUUUGUGAAUGAAUUCCUCAUUUUGUUAACUGGACUUGCAUGCGGAACGUGAAGACAAAUAUGUUGAAUGGACCAUUAGGAUGUUAUCCAAACAUUUCAAUUUUGGACCAAUUAUCUAAGUCUUUCUGUUUUGAAGAAAUUUUAGCCAAAAUUAAAUAUUAAUUUGAUUGACAGCAUCACACUUGGGACUUGUUUAUGAAUGCUUAACAAAACACCUUUGGAUCUUCUUUCACAAAGUGCUCAUGAGAAAAAUCAAUUUUUCCCCUGAAUUAAAUUUCAAUUUUGGCUUAGAUUUCUUUGGAAUUGAAUGAUUUGGAUGAUGGGUGCAAAAUUGAAACAUUUGGAUAAAAUUAACAAAUUGGUGCAAGCAUUUGAACUUUUUGGUCCAAAAGGCCUUGAGACGAUUAGUUGACUUGAAUUAUUUAGGGAGGAUCUUAUUUCACAAAGUGCUCAUGAGAAAAAUCAAUUUUUCCCCUGAAUUAAAUUUCAAUUUUGGCUUAGAUUUCUUUGGAAUUGAAUGAUUUGGAUGAUGGGUGCAAAAUUGAAACAUUUGGAUAAAAUUAACAAAUUGGUGCAAGCAUUCGAACUUUUUGGUCCAAAAGACCUUGAGACGAUUAGUUGACCUGAAUUAUUUAGGGAGGAGAUUUAGCUUCAAUGAAGGACUACAUUUUGAAUGGACAUCUGUUCUAUCAUCAAUGCUUCAAUUCUCCAUGACAUCAAUGGAAAAGUAAAGCAUUCUAAUAUCCAUAACAUCUGUUUCCAAUGUCAGCAGAAAACAUUUUGUGUUUCACAUCAUUUCCGAUGACAGAAACAUAAUAGUAAUUAUAAGAG
rnacentral:lncRNA from 1 species